rnacentral:rRNA from 1 species
UGCUCCUGAGAGCCCAGCGGCGGACGGGUGAGUAACACGUAGGCAACCUGCCCGCAAGACCGGGAUAACAUAGGGAAACUUAUGCUAAUACCGGAUAGGGUCCUCUCUCGCAUGAGAGGGGACGGAAAGGUGGCGCAAGCUACCACUUGCGGAUGGGCCUGCGGCGCAUUAGCUAGUUGGUGGGGUAACGGCCCACCAAGGCGACGAUGCGUAGCCGACCUGAGAGGGUGACCGGCCACACUGGGACUGAGACACGGCCCAGACUCCUACGGGAGGCAGCAGUAGGGAAUUUUCCACAAUGGGCGAAAGCCUGAUGGAGCAACGCCGCGUGAACGAAGAAGGCCUUCGGGUUGUAAAGUUCUGUUGUCAGGGACGAAACCGUACCGUUUGAAGAAGGCGGUACCUUGACGGUACCUGACGAGAAAGCCACGGCUAACUACGUGCCAGCAGCCGCGGUAAUACGUAGGUGGCAAGCGUUGUCCGGAAUUAUUGGGCGUAAAGCGCGCGCAGGCGGCCAGGUAAGUCUGGUGUCAAAGCCCGGGGCUCAACCCCGGUACGCAUCGGAAACUGUCUGGCUUGAGUGCAGGAGAGGAAAGCGGUAUUCCACGUGUAGCGGUGAAAUGCGUAGAGAUGUGGAGGAACACCAGUGGCGAAGGCGGCUUUCUGGCCUGUAACUGACGCUGAGGCGCGAA